rnacentral:misc_RNA from 1 species
GGAAGUAAAAUCGUAACAAGGUCUCCGUAGGUGAACCUGCGGAGGGAUCAUUACAGAGUUCAUGCCCUACCGGGUAGAUCUCCCACCCUAUGUUAUUAUUACUUUGUUGCUUUGGCGGGCCGUUAGGCUCCGGCCCGACUACCGGCCCCGGCUGGUAAGCGCCCGCCAGAGGACCCAAAACCCUGAAUAUUAGUGUCGUCUGAGUACUAUAUAAUAGUUAAAACUUUCAACAACGGAUCUCUUGGUUCUG